GUCUACGGCCCUGCCACCCCGAACAUGUUCGAUCUCAUCUGAUCUCAGAAGCUAAGCAGGGUCGGGCCUGGUUAGGACUUGGAUGGGAGACCACCUGGGAAGACCAGGUGCUGUAGGUG
ensembl:rRNA 5S_rRNA 5S ribosomal RNA